UACGUAGGGGGCAAGCGUUGUCCGGAAUCAUUGGGCGUAAAGAGCGUGUAGGCGGCCCGGUAAGUCCGCUGUGAAAGUCCAGGGCUCAACCCUGGGAUGCCGGUGGAUACUGGCGGGCUCGAGUCCGGAAGAGGCGAGUGGAAUUCCUGGUGUAGCGGUGAAAUGCGCAGAUAUCAGGAGGAACACCGGUGGCGAAGGCGGGUCUCUGGGCCGUAACUGACGCUGAGGAGCGAAAGCAUGGGGAGCGAACAGG
rnacentral:rRNA from 1 species